rfam:Schistosoma mansoni, Puerto Rico, WGS project CABG01000000 data, contig: 0077
AUCCAGCUGACGAGUCCCAAAUAGGACGAAGUGUCACGCGUCCUGGAU